rnacentral:rRNA from 1 species
GACGAACGCUGGCGGCGUGCUUAACACAUGCAAGUCGAACGGAAAGGCCCCCACCUUGGUGGGGGUGCUCGAGGGGCGAACGGGUGAGUAACACGUGGGUGAUCUGCCCUGUACUUCGGGAUAAGCUUGGGAAACUGGGUCUAAUACCGGAUAGGACCAUGGUUGAGUGUCUCAUGGUGGAAAAAUUAUUGUUUUGGUGCAGGAUGAGCUCACGGCCUAUCAGCUGGUUGGUGGGGUAAUGGCCUACCAAGGCGUCGGCGAGUAGCCGGCCGGAGAGGGAGGACGCCCACAUUGUGACAGAGGUACGGGCCAGAAUCGUACGGCAGGAAUCAGUGGGGAAUGUCGAACAAUGGGCGCAAGCCUGAUGCAGCGAGGCCGCGUGGGGGAUGACGGCCUUCGGGUUGUAACCUCCUUUCGUGAGGGACGAAGCCACGCCUUUUUUGGGUGUGGUGACGGUACCUUUGUUAAGAAGCACCGGCUAACUACGUG